GUUGCUGUCGUUUCGCGUCCUCCAGCCGCGUUAUAUUAAGGAGAAAGGUGCCGUAGGGAACCAGAGAUGCUCGGCUGCGCACGGCAGUUACAGAAUUCUCUCAAGUUAGAAGAAUUAAGCAAAAUACUUCUUUAAAUAUACUUAAAAGCACAGAAAAGCUGACAAAAUGGUGGUGAAUUACUAAACCAGAUAAGACUCAGGGACGUGAGUCCUGUGUUUGGAGACAGCUGUCACCCUUUCCACAGAGACAAGCUCAGAAGCUAGGGCCUGAAAGUCCUCCUGACAGGCACUUGGAGACAGGCUCUUCGGAUAUGAGACAGAGAUUUUGGAUUUUCCCUCAACAAGUGUGCAUGGGUUUAGAGAAGGAGAGAGCCACACUCCAACCCCAAAGCCAGCUUCAACUUUUAAUUGAAUUGGAACCACAUAAAGACCAUUUGCCACUGUAUCUGUAAAGGGAAGAAAGGACAAG